rnacentral:rRNA from 1 species
AGAGUUUGAUCCUGGCUCAGGAUGAACGCUGGCGGCGUGCCUAAUACAUGCAAGUCGAGCGAGAAUCAGUUGAUCGGGGAUUCGUCGAAGUGAAGCUGAGGAAAGCGGCGGACGGGUGAGUAACGCGUAGGCAACCUGCCCUUAGCAGAGGGAUAGCCAUUGGAAACGAUGAUUAAAACCUCAUAAUGCUGUUGAGACACAUGUUUCGACAGCCAAAGAUUUAUCGGCUAAGGAUGGGCCUGCGUCUGAUUAACUAGUUGGUGGGGUAACGGCUCACCAAGGUGACGAUCAGUAGCCGACCUGAGAGGGUGAUCGGCCACAUUGGAACUGAGACACGGUCCAAACUUCUACGGAAGGCAGCAGUAAGGAAUCUUGCACAAUGGGGGAAACCCUGAUGCAGCAACGCCGCGUGAACGAUGAAGGCCUUAGGGUUGUAAAGUUCUGAUCUGUGGGAAGAAGAAGUGACGGUACCACAGGAGAAAGCCCCGGCUAAAUACGUGCCAGCAGCCGCGGUAAUACGUAUGGGGCAAGCGUUAUCCGGAAUUAUUGGGCGUAAAGAGUGCGUAGGUGGUUACCUAAGCGCAAGGUUUAAUCUUGAGGCUCAACCUCAUUCUGCCUUGCGAACUGGGCUACUUGAGUGCAGGAGGGGAAAGCGGAAUUCCCAGUGUAGCGGUGAAAUGCGUAGAUAUUGGGAAGAACACCGGUGGCGAAGGCGGCUUUCUGGACUGUAACUGACACUGAGGCACGAAAGCGUGGGGAGCAAACAGGAUUAGAUACCCUGGUAGUCCACGCCGUAAACGAUGAGCACUAGUUGUUGGGUACGAAUGUAUUCAGUGACGCAGUUAACGCAAUAAGUGCUCCGCCUGGGGAGUACGGUGGCAACACUAAAACUCAAAGGAAUUGACGGG